rnacentral:rRNA from 1 species
GACGAACCGUGCGAACGUUGUUCGGAAUCACUGGGCUUAAAGGGCGCGUAGGCGGCUUGUCAAGUCAGGGGUGAAAUCUUUCGGCUCAACCGGAAAAGUGCCUUUGAUACUGACAAGCUCGAGGGAGGUAGGGGUAUGUGGAACUUCCGGUGGAGCGGUGAAAUGCGUUGAUAUCGGAAGGAACGCCGGUGGCGAAAGCGACGUACUGGACCUCUUCUGACGCUGAGGCGCGAAAGCUAGGGGAGCAAACGGG